GCCGCCGUAGCUCAGCUGGUAGAGCAGCGGGCCCAUGACCCGUGGGUCGACGGUUCGAGUCCGUCCGGCGGCGCCA
rnacentral:tRNA from 1 species